rnacentral:rRNA from 1 species
UUGCACGCUGGCGGCAGGCCUAACACAUGCAAGUCGAGCGGUAGAGAGAAGCUUGCUUCUCUUGAGAGCGGCGGACGGGUGAGUAAUGCCUAGGAAUCUGCCUGGUAGUGGGGGAUAACGUUCGGAAACGGACGCUAAUACCGCAUACGUCCUACGGGAGAAAGCAGGGGACCUUCGGGCCUUGCGCUAUCAGAUGAGCCUAGGUCGGAUUAGCUAGUUGGUGGGGUAAUGGCUCACCAAGGCGACGAUCCGUAACUGGUCUGAGAGGAUGAUCAGUCACACUGGAACUGAGACACGGUCCAGACUCCUACGGGAGGCAGCAGUGGGGAAUAUUGGACAAUGGGCGAAAGCCUGAUCCAGCCAUGCCGCGUGUGUGAAGAAGGUCUUCGGAUUGUAAAGCACUUUAAGUUGGGAGGAAGGGCAGUAAAUUAAUACUUUGCUGUUUUGACGUUACCGACAGAAUAAGCACCGGCUAACUCUGUG